CACCGCACCCAGCCACUGAACUCAUUUUAAACUGGCUUCUCCUUUACAACUACAAAAAAUGUGGCAACUAAGGCUACUACAAGCUUCUUAGCUGCUCCUUUCAAUAAAUGUGGUUCAAAAUUCAUAUAACUUUAUUUUUAUUUUUGUUUAGUGAUACUUGUCUUCCUGGAACUCACUUAGCUUCAAUUACACAAAAUCCUCCAAGUUUUCCUCUUUCUGAUUUUUCUUUCUUAAUCUGUUCUUCUAGUUCAUUUUUCUCCUUUUCUUCAUAAUUCUUUCCUUGAUUCCUUCCUUUUCUCAGUCUGCAUAUACUUUCCUUGAGUGAUCUCAACCAUCCUCACAGUUUUAAUCUCACCUAUGUCCCUAAAUUUCUCUCUAACACUAGCUACUCUUCAGUCUUCCUAUAAAAUAUUUGCAGCUGUUCCUUGAUAGGUACUCCACAGGAACUUCAAGCUCCACAUGUUCAAAAUGGAAUGUUUCUUUAAAUAUUGUCAUCCAGCAGUAAUUUCAAUUAUGCUCAUUACCAAACAAUUCCCAAGAUUUGUUCAUUCUAAGUCAUAAAUAUGUCUGGAAUCUGUCUUUUCCCCUCAAUCCCCACCACUCUCCCUGAGCUCAUGUCUUGGACAGUUAUGAUACUGUAAAUUUUAUUCUCUUGGUUCCUCAAUCUUCUCCUUGAAUAUGUCUCUCUGUUACUAACAUAAGAACAAAAUAAAAUCUUUUGCUUAGCUAAUUCACUCAGACUUCUUCUAAUCUUCUACCAUGGCCACACGAU
rnacentral:lncRNA from 1 species